AGGGCAGACAGCGCCCCACGGAGCAUGCUCCGUGGCGGGCUACCCUACUUCGGUAGGGUUUAGAGUCGUUGGGCCUCUCGGAGAAGCCCAGUCCUGAACUCCACCCUUGAAUAUAUUACCUCUGUUGCUUUGGCGAGACGCCUCGUGCCAGCGGCUUCGGCUGUUGAGUGCUCGCCAGAGGACCACAACUCUUGUUUUUAGUGAUGUCUGAGUACUAUAUAAUAGUUAAAACUUUCAACAACGGAUCUCUUGGUUCUGGCAUCGAUGAAGAACGCAGCGAAAUGCGAUAAGUAAUGUGAAUUGCAGAAUUCAGUGAAUCAUCGAAUCUUUGAACGCACAUUGCGCCCUCUGGUAUUCCGGGGGGCAUGCCUGUUCGAGCGUCAUUAUAACCACUCAAGCUCUCGCUUGGUAUUGGGGUUCGCGGUCGCGCGGCCCCUAAAAUCAGUGGCGGUGCCUGUCGGCUCUACGCGUAGUAAUACUCCUCGCGAUUGAGUCCGGCUGGUCUACUUGCCAUCAACCCCAAAUAUUUUACAGGUUGACCUCG
rnacentral:rRNA from 1 species